rnacentral:rRNA from 1 species
AGGAUAAACGCUGGCGGCGUGCCUAACACAUGCAAGUCGAACGUCUCUUCUUUCGGGAAGAGGAGUGGCGGACGGGUGAGGAACACGUGGGAACCUGCCCUACAGUGAGGAAUACCGGCGAGAAAUCGCCGACAAGACCGCAUAGCCCUCUCUGGUGAGAGCCAGAGAAGGAAAGCUUCGCAAGAGGCGCUGGAGGAGGGGCCUGCGUCCGAUUAGCUAGUUGGUGGGGUAAGAGCCUACCAAGGCGUCGAUCGGUAGCUGGUCUGAGAGGACGAUCAGCCACACUGGGAUUGAGAACGGCCCAGACUCCUACGGGGGGCAGCAGUGAGGAAUUUUCGGCAAUGGGGGAAACCCUGACCGAGCAACGCCGCGUGCAGGAAGACGGCCUUCGGGUUGUAAACUGCUUUUCUUUGGGACGAGCAAGGACGGUACCAGAGGAAUCGAGCCCGGCUCACUACGUGCCAGCAGGGCCGC